rnacentral:rRNA from 1 species
UACGUAGGGUGCGAGCGUUGUCCGGAAUUAUUGGGCGUAAAGCGUCCGUAGACGGUUGUAUAAGUCUACUGUGAAAGGCAUUUGCUCAACGAAUGUUAUGUAGUGGAAACUGUGCGACUAGAGUAUGGUAGAGGUUGCUGGAAUUCCUGGUGUAGCGGUGAAAUGCGUAGAUAUCAGGAGGAACACCUGUGGCGAAAGCGGGCAACUGGGCCAUAACUGACGUUAAUGGACGAAGGCUAGGGUAGCGAAAGGG